rnacentral:rRNA from 1 species
UACGUAGGUGGCAAGCGUUGUCCGGAUUACUGGGCGUAAAGAGCGCGCAGGCGGUCGGAUCAGUCGAAUGUGAAAGCCCCCGGCUCAACUGGGGAGGGUCAUUCGAUACUGUCCGACUCGAAGGCAGGAGAGGGAAGCGGAAUUCCCGGUGUAGUGGUGAAAUGCGUAGAUAUCGGGAGGAACACCAGUGGCGAAGGCGGCUUCUGGCCUGUUCUUGACGCUGAGGCGGCGAAAGCUGAGGGAGCGAACGGGAU